CCUACGGGUGGCAGCAGUGGGGAAUAUUGGGCAAUGGGGGCAACCCUGAUCCAGCAACGCCGCGUGAGGGAAGAAGGAUUUCGGGAUGUAAAGCUCUAUUCGCAGGGAAGAAGGAAGUGACGGUACCUGACGAAUAAGCCACGGCUAACUACGUGCCAGCAGCCGCGGUAAUACGUAGGGGGCAAGCGUUAUCCGGAUUUACUGGGUGUAAAGGGCGCGUAGGCGGCACGGCAAGUCAGAUGUUAAAUCCGGGGGCUCAACCCCUGGCCUGCUUUUGAAACUGUAGUGCUGGAGUGCUGGAGAGGUAAGUGGAAUUCCUAGUGUAGCGGUGAAAUGCGUAGAUAUUAGGAGGAACACCAGUGGCGACGGCGGCCUACUGGACUGUAACUGCCGUUGAGGCUCGAAAGCGUGGGUAGCAAACAGGAUUAGAUACCCUAGUAGUC
rnacentral:rRNA from 1 species